rnacentral:rRNA from 1 species
UACGGGGGGGGGCAAGCGUUAUCCGGAUUUACUGGGCGUAAAGGGUGUGCAGGCGGGCUGUUAAGUGGUGUAUGAAAUAUCCCGGCUCAACCGGGAAGGGUUAUGGCCAGACUGGCAGUCUAGAGAGCGAGAGAGGACGUGGAAUUCCGGGUGUAGUGGUGGAAAUGACGUAGAGAUCCGGAGGAACCCCAGAGGCGAAGGCGGCGUCCUGGCUCGCAUCUGACGCUCAGACACGACAGCAUGGGGAGCGAACGGG